AACGAACGCUGGCGGCAUGCCUAACACAUGCAAGUCGAACGAGACCUUCGGGUCUAGUGGCGCACGGGUGCGUAACGCGUGGGAACCUGCCCUUAGGUUCGGAAUAACUCCCCGAAAGGGGUGCUAAUACCGGAUAAUGUCUUCGGACCAAAGAUUUAUCGCCUUUGGAUGGGCCCGCGUUGGAUUAGCUAGUUGGUAGGGUAAAAGCCUACCAAGGCGACGAUCCAUAGCUGGUCUGAGAGGAUGACCAGCCACACUGGGACUGAGACACGGCCCAGACUCCCACGGGAGGCAGCAGUGGGGAAUAUUGGACAAUGGGCGAAAGCCUGAUCCAGCAAUGCCGCGUGAGUGAUGAAGGCCUUAGGGUUGUAAAGCUCUUUUACCCGGGAUGAUAAUGACAGUACCGGGAGAAUAAGCUCCGGCUAACUCCGUG
rnacentral:rRNA from 1 species